rnacentral:rRNA from 1 species
GAUGAACGCUGGCGGCGUGCCUAAUACAUGCAAGUCGAGCGAACAGACGAGGAGCUUGCUCCUCUGACGUUAGCGGCGGACGGGUGAGUAACACGUGGAUAACCUACCUAUAAGACUGGGAUAACUUCGGGAAACCGGAGCUAAUACCGGAUAAUAUAUUGAACCGCAUGGUUCAAUAGUGAAAGACGGUUUUGCUGUCACUUAUAGAUGGAUCCGCGCCGCAUUAGCUAGUUGGUAAGGUAACGGCUUACCAAGGCAACGAUGCGUAGCCGACCUGAGAGGGGGAUCGGCCACACUGGAACUGAGACACGGUCCAGACUCCUACGGGAGGCAGCAGUAGGGAAUCUUCCGCAAUGGGCGAAAGCUUGCCGGAGCAACGCCGCGUGAGUGAUGAAGGUCUUCGGAUCGUAAAACUCUGUUAUUAGGGAAGAACAAAUGUGUAAGUAACUAUGCACGUCUUGACGGUACCUAAUCAGAAAGCCACGGCGAACUACGU